AGAGUUUGAUCAUGGCUCAGAACGAACGCUGGCGGCGUGGAUUAGGCAUGCAAGUCGAACGAGAAGCCAGAGCUUCAAUCCUUCGGGAGAGAAGCUUUGGUGGACAGUGGCGAAAGGGUGAGUAUCGCGUGGGCAAUCUGCCUCAAAGUCGGGGAUAGCUUCUGGAAACGGGAGGUAAUACCGGAUGUGGUCGCCCCGGGAAUCCGGGGCUGUCUAAAGGUGGGGAUCUUCGGACCUGCCGCUUAGAGAUGAGCCCGCGUCCCAUCAGCUUGUUGGUAGGGUAACGGCCUACCAAGGCCGAGACGGGUAGCUGGUCUGAGAGGAUGGUCAGCCACACUGGGACUGAGACACUGCCCAGACUCCUACGGGAGGCUGCAGUCGAGAAUCAUUCGCAAUGCACGAAAGUGCGACGAUGCGACGCCGCGUGCAGGAUGACGGCCUUCGGGUUGUAAACUGCUGUCAUGAGGGAAAAACGACUCGGGUGUUAAUACCACCUGGGUGUGAUGGUACCUCAAGAGGAAGCCACGGCUAACUCUGUGCCAGCAGCCGCGGUAAUACAGAGGUGGCGAGCGUUGUUCGGAUUUACUGGGCGUAAAGGGUGCGUAGGCGGCGUCGUGUGUCGGAUGUGAAAUCUCAGGGCUCAACCCUGAACCUGCAUCCGAAACUGCGGUGCUAGAGUGCUGGAGAGGUGAGCGAAAUUCUCGGUGUAACGGUGAAAUGUGUAGAUAUCGAGAGGAACGCCGGUGGCGAAGGCGGCUCACUGGACAGAUACUGACGCUGAGGCACGAAAGCUGGGGUAGCGAACAGGAUUAGAUACCCUGGUAGUCCCAGCCGUAAACGUUGUGCACUUGGUGUGGGGGGAAUUAUCCCCCUCCGCGCCGGAGCUAACGCGUUAAGUGCACCGCCUGGGGAGUACGGUCGCAAGACUAAAACUCAAAGGAAUUGACGGGGGCCCGCACAAGCGGUGGAGCAUGUGGCUUAAUUCGAUGCAACGCGAAGAACCUUACCGGGGUUUGACAUGCCCGUCGUACCUUUACGAAAGUAGAGGGUCAGUUCGGCUGGACGGUGCACAGGUGCUGCAUGGCUGUCGUC
rnacentral:rRNA from 1 species